rnacentral:rRNA from 1 species
CCCUUAGACGUUCUGGGCCGCACGCGCGCUACACUGACCAGUGCAACAAGCAUCCGUCCUUGGCCGACAGGCCCGGGCAAUCUUUGAACGCUGGUCGUGAUGGGGAUAGACUUUUGCAAUUUCUGGUCUUCAACGAGGAAUUCCUAGUAAACGCAAGUCAUCAACUUGCAUUGAUUACGUCCCUGCCCUUUGUACACACCGCCCGUCGCACCUACCGAUUGAAUGGUCCGGUGAAGCCUCCGGAUUGGCGCGCACCUCGGUGCCGCCGAGAAGUUGGCUAAACCUUACCAUUUAGAGGAAGGUGAAGUCGUAACA